rnacentral:rRNA from 1 species
GACGAACGCUGGCGGCGUGCUUAACACAUGCAAGUCGAACGGAAGGGCCUCUUUCGGGGGGUACUCGAGUGGCGAACGGGUGAGUAACACGUGAGUAACCUGCCCUUGACUUUGGGAUAACUUCAGUAAACUGGGGCUAAUACCGGAUAGGAGCUCCUGCUGCAUGGUGGGGGUUGGAAAGUUUCGGCGGUUGGGGAUGGACUCGCGGCUUAUCAGCUUGUUGGUGGGGUAGUGGAUUACCAAGGCUUUGACGGGUAGCCGGGCUGAGAGGGUGACCGGCCAAAGUGGGACUGAGAAACGGCCCAGACGCCUACGGGAGGCAGGAGGGGGGAAUAUUGCACAAUGGGUGGAAGCCUGAUGCAGCAACGCCGUGUGCGGGAGGACGGCCUUCGGGUUGUAAACCGCUUUCGCUCAUGACGAAGCUUUGUGUGACGGUAGUGGGUAAAGAAGCACCGGCUAACUACGUG